rfam:Picea glauca, whole genome shotgun sequence.
GCAUGCCUACAACAUACCAUUAAUGCAGCGGAUCCCAUUAGAACUUUGUAGUUAAACGCACGUAGGCUAGAGUAAUAUUGGGAUGGGUGACCACCUGGGAAGUCCUAGUGUUUCACAUGCC